rnacentral:misc_RNA from 1 species
GCUCUUUAACAAUAUAAACCUAUCAAUCUGUGUGGGCACUCGUUGAUGAUAAUCAAAAAAGAUUUAUCAAUGAACUGAGUGACCAAUCAGAAUCAAGUUUACUUGAUUUUGGCACAGUCAAUUCAUUGUUGUUCUGUUGGAACAACAAUAGCUUUAAAAUUACUUUUUACUUUCGAGUAAGAGCAGUUUUGAAGUCAGUAUUCAUUGAGCCGGUCUUAGGACCAACAAAACUUU